CAACCCAAUUUUUAUAAGUAAAUUUAGAUUUUAGUCACAAAAAACCCAAUUUUUCAACGGCUCUUUUUCUCUCAGGCUCUUGAAGCAGAGCAAACUACGACGUUUCCUGGUGUUGUAACCUUGUAGGCCUGCUAUUGUGACCGAAUCGGUUCAGAGCGAGGAGCGUGUAUCAUCGUAUGUCCUUCAAUUUCGUUAAUUGCAUGGAAAAACUCUGGUAAACUCUCAGGCUUUGUCAGGAUUGAGUAUGUAAUCUUAACAAAAUUACAAAAGCAGGUUGGAGGUCGUAGUAGGUCCUUGGCUCAAGGAAUGAUGUUUUGCAAAUAAUAAAAAAGUAGCUUCAGCGAAACUUGAGAAACGGUUUUCCAUUUUAAACAGGUGUAAAUUCUUAAAAUUCCGUUCCGAAUGAACAAAUCACUGCCCAGACGGAGUAAGGAGAUGAUUGACUACUCUGACGACUUUUAGCUACGGUUAAAAGUUUCGUUGACUAUAGUUUCAAUUAGUGGCGCUUACCAACGGUUAGUGACCCAAAAAAUCGAAGCUAAAGCUGUUUUUGAGA